rnacentral:rRNA from 1 species
AGAGACAGCAGUAGCCGCGGGAAUACAGAGGGUGCGAGCGUUAAUCGGAUUUACUGGGCGUAAAGCGUGCGUAGGCGGCUUUUUAAGUCGGAUGUGAAAUCCCUGAGCUUAACUUAGGAAUUGCAUUCGAUACUGGGAAGCUAGAGUAUGGGAGAGGAUGGUAGAAUUCCAGGUGUAGCGGUGAAAUGCGUAGAGAUCUGGAGGAAUACCGAUGGCGAAGGCAGCCAUCUGGCCUAACACUGACGCUGAGGUACGAAAGCAUGGGGAGCAAACAGGAUUAGAUACCCGCGUAGUCCCUGUCUCUUAUAC